GACUAACCGCUCUGGUGGCCUAGUGGUUAGAGUGUCCGCUUCAGAUGUGUAAGGUCGUGGGUUCGAACCCCGGCUGAGUCA